rnacentral:rRNA from 1 species
CCUACGGGUGGCAGCAGUGAGGAAUAUUGGUCAAUGGGAGGAAUCCUGAACCAGCCAUGCCGCGUGCAGGACGACGGCUCUACGAGUUGUAAACUGCUUUUGUACCGGGGUAAAAUGCUCUACGUGUAGGGUUUUGAAAGUACGGUACGAAUAAGGACCGGCUAACUCCGUGCCAGCAGCCGCGGUAAUACGGAGGAUGCGAGCGUUAUCCGGAUUUAUUGGGUUUAAAGGGUGCGCAGGCGGUCUGUUAAGUCAGCGGUAAAAGCCCGGGGCUCAACCCCGGCCCGCCGUUGAAACUGGCAGUCUCGAGUUGGGGAGAAGUAGGCGGAAUGCGCGGUGUAGCGGUGAAAUGCAUAGAUAUCGCGCAGAACUCCGAUUGCGAAGGCAGCAUGCCGGCGCCACACUGACGCUGAGGCACGAAAACGUGGGUAUCGAACAGGAUUAGAUACCCUAGUAGUC